CACGCCGGCAGCACAAUGAUGAUGUCACUGACUCUACUGCUGGCCACCCUGGGGCUCCUUGUUCAGGGUUCAUCAGGACAAAUCAUCGUGACUCAGUCUCCUGGAGCUCAGUCUGUGGUUGCAGGGCAGUCUGUCUCCAUCACAUGUAGAACCAGUACAAGUGUUGGUGACUGGCUUCACUGGUACCUUCAGAAACCUGGCAAAGCUCCUAAACUCCUGAUUUAUAAAGCUACAAAUCGUCAGUCUGGAGUUUCAGAUCGUUUCAGUGGAAGUGGAUCUGGUACUGACUUCACUCUGAGCAUCAGAGGAGUCCAGGCUGAAGAUUCAGGAGUUUAUUACUGUCAGCAGGGUAGCAACUUGUUCACACAGCGAUACAGCGCCGUACAAAAACCUCCCUCAGCUUUAGAGGAACUGUCUCAACAGCUGCACUCAGACUAAAGACUAACUUCGCUGUGAAGGAAACAAACACUGUGCAGCUCAUCAGGUUAUACUAACACAUUUCAGUUUAACAAAAACUGAACUUUCUAAGUCAGUUUUGAAAAAUUCUGUUGAUGAUCAUUUUAAUAACACAAAUGCAGGCCAUUUACAAAUACUAAAACAUUAAGUAUGGAUGUUUUUUAUUGUUUACAUUGUAGACUUUUAUAUAGGAAAUUAAAGAUGUUGUUUAAUGAUGAAAGCACGUUUUAUCCACGUGCUGUUAUAAAAACAGUGACAUCUACUAUUACAGGAUCGUACCACAGAAUGACUCCUCCCACUCAUUUCUGAGCAUCGGAUAAUUCUCAUUAAAUAUUAUAAUAGUGUGUUAAAGUCAAAUGAACACCAGUACAAUCACAUGUGUGUUUCUGAACUCUGCACCACCUAUCAGCCUUAUUUAGACAGUCGCAGGUGGAUGAGGCCGUGGGGGUCUCAGUCUCUAUAACAACAAGUUAUUUUAAUGUCAUCAUUAAGAGUUGACAACAAUGUGUGAUUGAACACUGGGAACUUCUUAAAUAUUAAACAG